ACUAAUUUUAAACAAUGUACACGGAGAAACAAGAGAAUUAGAGAAAGUAGCAAGCUCAGGUGCACACACAAAAUCAUAUAACCGUCACAAAACAACCAGAGCAUUGGACGGAAGUCAUGUAUCAUAUUAAGAUUAUUUAUAUCUGAGAUCCUGUGUGGCUGUGCUUGAUGAAUUGGAUGGUUAUAUGAUUUGACCUGACAUAUUUCGCACUGGUGUGUGCUAAUUUACCUAUUUUUAUUGUUCUUGGAUGCAGCUUGUCAAUUAUAUAAAAUUACUUGCAGCUUGUCAACUCUGAAUUUGCUAUGUAUCAUAUUAAGAGUAGUUAUAUCUGACAUCCUGUGUGGCUGUGGUUGAUGAAUUUGGGAUGGUUAUAUGAUUUUGACCUGACAUAGCAAAUUCAGAGUAGCUGACAUGAUUUCAUUAACAUUCAGAUCAACCAAUUGUAACACCCCAAUUAGGUCUAAAUUUAUUCAAUUGUGACUACUUUUAUACCAUUGACAACAGCGGCCAGGAACAACAGAAUGAGGUAAACUAGCACGCACGGUGCACAACAGGCCGGAUCAAAAUCAAAUAACCAUCUCAAAUUCAUCAAGCAUAGCACAGACAGGAUGUCAAAAUAUAACUACUCUUGAUAUGAUUCAAGACAAAUUCGGAGUAGCAGAUAUUGUUCCAUUAAUAUUCAGAUCGACCAGGCAAAAGUAGCACCACGGGGACAUCCUCUUACAAACCAACCACGACUACACACGAACCAUCAACAGUCCAACGAUUUCCAUCAAGCGCUACUACUAAUACUACUAUAUAUAUCUAGAUAGGCAGGCAGAUCCACGGCGGGGAUCAACAGCGGUCACCAGGAGGGGGGGCGGGCGAACCUAGGAGGAGGUGAACUUGGUGACGGCCUUGGUGCCCUCGGAGACGGCGUGCUUGGCGAGCUCCCCGGGGAGGACGAGGCGGACCGAGGUCUGGAUCUCGCGGGAG
rnacentral:lncRNA from 1 species